ACAAUGGGGGCAACCCUGAUCCAGCAAUGCCGCGUGAGUGAAGAAGGCCUUCGGGUUGUAAAGCUCUUUUGUCAGGGAAGAAAAGGGGGGUGUUAAUACCAUUCUCUCAUGACGGUACCUGAAGAAUAAGCACCGGCUAACUACGUGCCAGCAGCCGCGGUAAUACGUAGGGUGCGAGCGUUAAUCGGAAUUACUGGGCGUAAAGCGUGCGCAGGCGGUUUAGUAAGACAGGUGUGAAAUGCCCGGGCUUAACCUGGGAACUGCACUUGUGACUGCUAGGCUAGAGUGUGUCAGAGGGGGGUAGAAUUCCACGUGUAGCAGUGAAAUGCGUAGAUAUGUGGAGGAAUACCGAUGGCGAAGGCAGCCCCCUGGGAUAACACUGACGCUCAUGCACGAAAGCGUGGGGAGCAAACAGGAUUAGAUACCCUGGUAGUCCACGCCCUAAACGAUGUCAACUAGUUGUCGGGUCUUAAUUGACUUGGUAAAGCAGCUAACGCGUGAAGUUGACCGCCUGGGGAGUACG
rnacentral:rRNA from 1 species